rnacentral:rRNA from 1 species
GACGAACGCUGGCGGCGUGCUUAACACAUGCACGUCGCACGAAGUGGCGGACGGGUGAGUAACGCGUAAUCACCCUGCCCUUCAGAGGGGGACAACAGUUGGAAACGACUCCUAAUACCGCAUACUGGAGGAGGGGAUUUCGUCUGAUUAGCUCGUGGGAGGGGUAACGGCCCACCAAGGAGAUGAUCAGUAGCCGGUCUGCGAUGGUGAACGGCAACAGUGGGACUGAGACGCGGCCCAGACUCCUACGGGAGGCAGCAGUGGGGAAUCUUCUGUAAUGGACGAAAGUCUGACGGAGCAACGCCGCGUGAGUGAUGACUGCCUUCUGGGUGUAAAGCUCUGUUAAUCGGGACGCGGUACCGGAAUAGAAAGCCACGGCUAACUACGUGCCAGCAGCCGCGGUAAUAC